GGCGUGAAAGCCCCCGGCUCAACCGGGGAGGGUCGCUGGUGACUGCCGGGCUUGAAGACAGCAGGGGCAGGUGGAAUUCCGGGUGUAGUGGUGAAAUGCGUAGAGAUCCGGAGGAACACCAGUGGCGAAGGCGGCCGCCUGGACCUGACCUGACGCUGAGGCGCGAAGGCGUGGGGAGCGAACGGG
rnacentral:rRNA from 1 species